CGCCCUUGAGUUUGAUCAUGGCUCAGGACGAACGCUGGCGGCGUGCCUAACACACGCAAGUCGAGCGAUGAAGCCCUUCGGGGCUGAUUAGCGGCGGACGGGUGAGUAACACGUGGGUAACCUGCCUCAUAGAGGGGGAUAGCCUCCCGAAAGGGAGAUUAAUACCGCAUAACAUAUUUUGGUCGCAUGAUCGAAAUAUCAAAGGAGUAAUCCGCUAUGAGAUGGACCCGCGGCGCAUUAGCUAGUUGGUGAGGUAACGGCUCACCAAGGCGACGAUGCGUAGCCGACCUGAGAGGGUGAUCGGCCACAUUGGAACUGAUACACGGUCCAGACUCCUACGGGAGGCAGCAGUGGGGAAUAUUGCGCAAUGGGGGAAACCCUGACGCAGCAACGUUUUUUUUUUGAUGAAGGCCUUAGGGUUGUAAAGUUCUGUCUUCUGGGACGAUAAUGACGGUACCAGAGGAGGAAGCCACGGCUAACUACGUGCCAGCAGCCGCGGUAC
rnacentral:rRNA from 1 species